rnacentral:misc_RNA from 1 species
AUAAAAAAAAAAAAAAAAAUUGAAUUCAAUUUGGCCACUUGCAAAAUAAAAAAUUAAUUAAAAGAUGCAUUUUGGUCAAAGCAAUGGGAAGAUAUAAGAGAAAAAUGGGAAAGCUUGAACUAAAUUGACCCUUUUUUCUCAAAAAUUGAUGAAACUUGUUCAGGUGGGUCACAUAUUGGGUAGAGAAACAGAUGAAAACCAAAAGGGGUGGGAAGAAAGGGAG